GACGAACGCUGGCGGCGUGCCUAAUACAUGCAAGUAGGACGCAGUUGCGAACGGGUGAGUAACGCGUAGGUAACUACCUAUUAGAGGGGGAUAACUAUUGGAAACGAUAGCUAAUACCGCAUACUAGUAGAUGGACCUGCGUUGUAUUAGCUAGUAGGUAGGGUAAUGGCCUACCUAGGCAACGCUCCAUAACCGACCUGACAGGGUGAUCGGCCACACGGGGACUGAUACACGGCCCGUACUCCUACGGGAGGCAGCAGUAGGGAAGCUUCGGAAAUGGGGGGCACCCUGACCGAGCAACUCCGCGUGAGUGAAGAAGGUUUUCGGAUCGGAAAGCUCUGUUGUUAAGUAAGCGUUACUUAACCAGAAAGGGACGGCUAACUUCGUGCCAGCAGCCGCGGUAAUUC
rnacentral:rRNA from 1 species